CUUCUGCACUGCAGGUGGAUUCUUUACCAGAUGAGCUACUAGGAUAGCCCACAUUUUUUCUUGCUUGGCACCCCUUCAUCAUAACCAGUUAUCAGUAGACUGGCUUUGCUGAGCACGGCAAAUCCUCGGGCAGCUCAUGAUGGACCUCUCUGCCAGUGUGACACCUCACAGCAGCGCGAGACCUUUCUCUU
rnacentral:lncRNA from 1 species